rnacentral:pre_miRNA from 1 species
AUCAACGUUUGACCAUUCGUUUUAUUUAAAAAAUUUAUGUAAUUAUCAUUUAUUUUAUUGUGGCUUGAUUUAUCAUCAAAUAUUCUUUAAGUAUGACAUAAAUAUUUUUAUAUUUGCACAAAAAAUUUGAAUAAGACGAAUGGUCAAACGUUGUUCGAAAAGUCA